rnacentral:rRNA from 1 species
UACAUCAUGCCCCUUAUGUUCUGGGCUACACACGUGCUACAAUGGCCGGUACAGACGGACGCAAAGCCGCGAGGUGGAGCAAAUCCUAAAAAGCCGGUCUCAGUUCGGAUUGCAGGCUGCAAUUCGCCUGCAUGAAGUCGGAAUCGCUAGUAAUCGCAGGUCAGCAUACUGCGGUGAAUACGUUCCCGGGCCUU